rnacentral:lncRNA from 13 species
CGGCGGGGACAGGCGGCGGCCACGUAUCGACUUCCUGCUGGCCUCUGACCUCCACUUACCGACACCGGAACUUCCGCUGCUGAGGCGGCUGGAGGGCUCCGGGAGAGUGGCUGAGGCCUGGUGCUCCGCCUCCUCCGGAACCAGCCGUUACCCCGGCUCCGCGACUACCCCUCACGCUUCUUAACUUCCGUUGGUCCCGAACUCCCCUCCCCACACUCACCCCAUCCUCUCAGAUCCCAGUUGCUCCAGAGACAGAGUUUCACAAGCUCAUCUUGAACUCCUGGACUCAAGUGAUCUACCCGCCUCAGCCUUCCAAACUGCUGGGAUUAAGGUGUGAGCCACCAUGCCUGGCCUGGGGUCUCUUCUAUAAGGGAUCUAAUCCCAUUCAUGCCAGCUCUCCCUCAUGACUCAAUAACCUCCCAAGGACCCCACCUCCUAUACCAACACAGUGGGGAUUAGGUCUCAACAUACACAUUUUAGGAGGAGGUAAGCAUUCUGUCUACAGCACCACUGUAGGCAUUCAUGACUCCCUACAAUAGAAGAAAGAGGACUGCACACUGGCUGGAAGGUUUAUGGAUGGCUUCCAGAGAAGACAGAAUUAUCUGAUUGGUCCCUGUGCUUCUUUACCUCUGAAGAAUGAGGAAACAAUCAGAUAGGCAGAAGGAAUACCAUCUGCUAAUGCCAUGAGGGCUAAGAGCCUGGCAUGUUUAGUCUGGCUGGAGCAUUUACUGCAAGGGUGGAGAGACAGGAGAUGAGUCUGGGGAGGCCGGCAGGGGCCAGGUGUGCAGGGCCUAGAAACAUCGGACCGCGGUGGUCUGUAGGUGGUGGGGAGCCAGCGAAGGAUUUUAUGUCAUGAAGGAGAGGUUGCAGGAGAGGCUGGCAGCGGGGAGCUCAGAACCGAGGCUCCCAUUACAGCCUGGGGGAAGACAGUGAGAUCUGGAAGGAGCAGGAUAGGGAGAUGACAGGAAAGAGAUGGGUUUCAAGGAGAUCAGCAGCAUAGUCAGUAGCGCCAGCAGAGCCAACCGGAGUAGAUGAGGAAAUGGGAAUCCGUUAUAUUGAACUGUGG